AUGGAAGAGCCGAAUGCGGGCGGCGGGGCCGUGGCGGCACCCGAGGUGAUUGCGGAUCCGGGUGUUGGCGGGGCCAGCGGCGGCGCUGGCCCCGCCGCCUCGCCGUGGAGGAAGACCACGCCGCCGCCUGUCGCAGGUGAGGCAGCGGUCAUGGGGGCCGAGUCGUGGCCCGCGCUGGAGGAGACGCGGCAAAAGGUCGUGGCGGAGCCCACGGGGAAGCCUCUGCCGGGCAAUGCUGCCGGCGGCGACCUGGCAAAGGGGCCCGAGGUGCAGCAGGCGCCUCCAUCUCCAUCACAGGUGCCUAAUCGUAUGCACAAGUUUGAUGGCCAUGCAAAUCCCAACAAGAAUUACCAAGCACACCAUAAAAAUGGGCCCAAGAGACGCCCCCCUGGUGCAAAUGAUGCACCACCAUACCCUGCCACAAUGCCGUAUCAUCAACAUCCAGGGCAACCUAUUUUUUACCCUGUUCUCCCAAGUCCAGUGAUGCUACAUGAAUAUCCAUACCAGCCUUUUGCUGUUCCGGUCCCAAAUCAUGACCCACAUGUUGGGAAGUCUGGAUUCGAAUCUGCUACACCACCUUUUGUUCCGGUAGAUCAAGUUGGUGGCAAUGAAGGUAACAGGCCAAUGCCUCCACAAACGAGAGGAGAUCAUCAUGCUUGGCGUCCUGCUGUUGGUACUCAUGGUGCUAGACCACAUUCUAGUGUUGAAGGCCGUGGCCAUUUUAAUCACACUUGGCAAAAUCAUCAGACGUUUGGUACGAGAGAUAACACAAGUAUGCCACAUGGCGUUGGGCCAAGAGCUUUUGUCAGACCAAUGGCACAUCUGCCCCCUACUCUUGGGUACCUCAAUGGACCAUCAUACCCUGGGCCUAUGCCUCCCAUGUAUUAUUACAUGCCUGCUCCACCCAUGGAGGCAAUGAGAGGUCCACCUCGUUUUGUCCAAAACCAACCAGCCCCCCAACCUGUUUUAUCGCCUGAAGCGACUGAGCUAAGAGCUAAAAUAUUAGCUCAAGUGGAGUACUAUUUUAGUGAUACUAAUCUGGAGCGAGAUAAUUUCUUGAAAUCUUUAAUGGAUGAACAUGGCUGGGUUCCAAUUUCAAAAGUUGCAGACUUCAACAGACUGAAGAGAAUUACAAUGGAUGUCCAUCUGAUAGUAGAUGUAUUGGCAAGCUCAAGUCUUGUAGAAGUUCAGGAUGACAAGAUAAGAAGGCGCUCUGACUGGUCAAAAUGGGUUUGUUCUUCUGGGGCAACAUCUGUUCAGAGUCCAUCAUCUACUGCCAGUAUGGAUAAUAUUAUGGGUGAGAGCAAUACUGGCGGCUUCUCAAAUAAGGAUGAUUCUUUCUCUUCAGACCAAAAGAAGCAUCCUCACUCUCAAGAUGAUAAAUGCAACAUAGAUGGUGCUGCUAUUGAGGCAAUAGUUCCAGAUGAAGAGCUACCUAAUGAUGCACAUAGCUGUUCAUUGAAUAAAGGCUUGUCUGCCAUGACUAUUGGCGGAAAGCCUAAGAGCAUUUCCACAUUCUCUGGUAAUUCACGCACACAAGAAGCUGCUGUUAGAACUAGUGAUGUUAAAGUUCGAAAAGUAAACACAAAGAUGAAAGUACCUGAUUCUCAAAGCGAAAGUGGUUUCCGUAAGGAUUUGCCAAGUAACUCCCCUAGCUUCAGUGGGGAUCAAAGCACAUUCAUGCUUGAUGAGGAAUUGGAAUUGGAACACGCAGAACAUUCACGUGAUGAUGUCUAUUCACACAAAAGGGUCGAUGAUGAGGAUGACGAUUUUUUUGUUGAUGACCAAGAAGUGAAUCGGCUAAUAAUUGUUACACAGGAUACUAGAUCAGAAAAGGAUGACAAAAGUUGCUCGAGUAUAUCUCAAGCAUUUUCAACAGAGGAAGCAUCAAGAAUAAAUGACGCCUUAUAUUAUUAUGAGAGUGUACAUGAUCGGCGCACUAAUAAUCAAAGGAGCUCCCAGGCCGAUAGUGUAGAUGUUGAUUCUAAACAAUUUGGUGGAGCAAAAUGGAACCAUGUUAGCAUCGGAACUAAUGGCAUUGAGGAAGCUGGACAACCUAUUCCGCGUAGGCGGCAAAGUAAAGGCAAUAGAAAGACACAUACCUCACAUAAGCAGAGGUUCUUUGCUGGUAAUUUUGCGAAUAGUCCCAAUAGUCGAUCUCACUAUGGUGGUGUAUCAGAAAGCCCCCCAAGCAAUUCAAUUGGAUAUUUCUAUGGUUCUACUCCGGAAAAUCAUAGUAGCUAUAAGAGUUCAAAGCUGAGCUCAUCUCCUCAUGGAAUUCCUACUGGGAGCUCACCUAUUGGAUCAGUACCUAAAUCUUUCCCACCGUUUCAGCACCCUAGCCAUCAACUUCUAGAGAAAAAUAAAUUCCAGCAACAAAGGUACAAUAAGUUCAAGAAUAAAUGCGUUGCUGAACGUAAGAAGUUAGGAAUCGGUUUGAGCGAGGAAAUGAAUUCGCUCUAUCGUUUUUGGUCAUACUAUCUGAGAGAUAAUUUCAAUGAAGAUAUGUACAAGCAUUUUAAGAACUUUGCAGUAGAUGAUGCAGCAGCAAAUUACAGAUAUGGACUUGAGUGUCUCUUCAGAUUUUAUAGUUAUGGUUUGGAAAAAAACUUCCAACGGAAUGUAUAUGAAGAUUUUGAGCAACUGACGCUUGAGUUCUACCACAAGGGCGAUCUUUAUGGACUUGAAAAAUACUGGGCAUUUCAUCAUUUCCGAAAACAGGAUAGCAGCCCCAUCAAUAAGCAUGCAGAGUUGGAGAGGCUCCUCAGGGAGGAGUUCCGAACCAUCGAGGACUUCAAGGCACGGCGUGCGGCAGAUAAAGAAACCGGUGGUAGUGGCAGCAAGAGUGCGGUGGCGGCAAGCCAUAGCAAGGCUGUGGCUAAGUAG
rnacentral:rRNA from 1 species